rnacentral:rRNA from 1 species
UACGUAGGGUGCACGCGUUGUCCGGAAUUAUUGGGCGUAAAGAGCUCGUAGGCGGUCUGUCGCGUCGGCUGUGAAAACUCGGGGCUCAACUCCGAGCUUGCAGUCGAUACGGGCAGGCUAGAGUUCGGCAGGGGAGACUGGAAUUCCUGGUGUAGCGGUGAAAUGCGCAGAUAUCAGGAGGAACACCGGUGGCCAAGGCGGGUCUCUGGGCCGAUACUGACGCUGAGGAGCGAAAGCGUGGGGAGCGAACAGG